GAAAGCGUUAUCUCAGCACCAGCUCUGACGAUGAACAGUUCCCACCAACAAAGACCCCACAGGAGGAAGAUGAGGAGAUCUCACAAAUAUGGCAAAGCUUGUUGGACUCUAUCUCGAUACCAAACUCUAUAAUGCAGGAGCCAGCAGCAGAGGCUGUAACAGCUGAAGAACCUGAGAAGUGCAUCAAUACUAGCAUCCCGCCGUCACCUAUUGAGCUUUGGAAUAUGGCUUCUGCAAGUAACAUUCACAUUCAGGCUCCUGAAGCAUUGGCAAACAAUCAGCCGGCGCAUCUCACCCUGAAAAAUCUUCUUGGACUGUCGAUUGAUGAAACACAGCACAUUUUACCAAGAAAGCGUCGAGGAGCUAUGCGUGGAAUUGUCAGAGCAACCAUUUAUGGCAUCUUGAAACACUGCCUAAGCCAGUAUCUGUAUGAGAGCUGUAUUGGAUGUACAAUACAGGCCCCUGGACAGAGCUCUCACGAAUGUACAGUAUGGACAGAAAAUGACAUUUCCACAAAACUACGCAUUCUUUGUGCAAAACUCUGGUUUCAGCCUGUGUUGCAUGUUGUUAUCCUCAUUGGUUAUUCUCUAAAUUGUCUUGCUUUGACCUCAGAGAAUGUGGACCAGGUCUUAAUUCUGACUACAGAGAUUAGCAGAGCUAU